UAAAGUAUAAAGAGUCGAACCUGCCCAGUGAUAUAUAUUUAACGGCCGCGGUACCCUGACCGUGCAAAGGUAGCAUAAUCAUUUGCCUUAUAAUUGAAGGCUAGUAUGAAUGGUUUGACGAAAGCAAAGCUGUCUCUUUUUAAUUUUAUAAAACUUGAUUUUUAGGUGAAGAAGCCUAAAUAUAAUUGAAAGACAAGAAGACCCUAUCGAGCUUUAAAAAUUUUUAUUAAUAUACGAUAGCUAAAAUAGACUAGGUAUAAUAAAAAAUUUUAGUUGGGGCGACAAGGGAACAAAAAAGCUUCCGUUUUUAAAUUUAUAGCAAAUUAGCUAUGAUCCAAAAUUUUUGAUUAAAAGAAUUAGUUACCGUAGGGAUAACAGCAUAAUCUUUUUUGAGAGCUCUUAUCGAAAAAAAGGUUUGUGACCUCGAUGUUGGACUAGAAUAUCCUAAAUGAUGCAGAAGUCUUUAAGGGUUGGUCUGUUCGACC
rnacentral:rRNA from 1 species